AAAUGCGAUAAGUAAUGUGAAUUGCAGAAUUCAGUGAAUCAUCGAAUCUUUGAACGCACCUUGCGCUCCUUGGUAUUACUUGGAGCAUGCCUGUAUGAGUAUCAUGAAAUCUUCAAAGUAAAUCUUUUGUUAACUCAAUUGGUUUCUACUUUGGUAUUGGAGGUCUUUGCAGCUUCACACCUGCUCCUCUUUGUUCAUUAGCUGGAUCUCAGUGUUAUGCUUGGUUCCACUCGGCGUGAUAAGUUAUCUAUCGCUGAGGACACUGUAAAAGGUGGCCAAGGUAAAUGCAGAUGAACCGCUUCUAAUAGUCCAUUGACUUGGACAAUACUUUUAUGAUCUGAUCUAAAAUCAGGUAGGACUACCCGCUGAACUUAAGC
rnacentral:misc_RNA from 1 species